rnacentral:rRNA from 1 species
CAAUCGCCGCGGGAAUACGUAGGUCCCGAGCGUUGUCCGGAUUUAUUGGGCGUAAAGCGAGCGCAGGCGGUUAGACAAGUCUGAAGUUAAAGGCUGUGGCUUAACCAUAGUACGCUUUGGAAACUGUUUAACUUGAGUGCAAGAGGGGAGAGUGGAAUUCCAUGUGUAGCGGUGAAAUGCGUAGAUAUAUGGAGGAACACCGGUGGCGAAAGCGGCUCUCUGGCUUGUAACUGACGCUGAGGCUCGAAAGCGUGGGGAGCAAACAGGAUUAGAUACCCCCGUAGUCCCUGUCUCUUAUACA